GCCUAGUCGUAAACAAUUUAUUUACAUCUCCAACGCCAGGGUAUUACGAGUCAAACUUAAAACCCAAAGGACUUGACGGUGUCCCACCCACCUAGAGGAGCCUGUUCUAUAAUCGAUAAUCCCCGUUUUACCUAACCAUUUUUUGCCUAAUCAGUCUGUAUACCUCCGUCGUAAGCUUACCAUGUGAACGCCUAUAGUAAGCCCAAUGGCCACCCGCCAAUACGUCAGGUCAAGGUGCAACUUAUACCAUGGUAAGUAAUGGGCUACAAUUUCUAAGAUAGAACAAACGAAAGGCUGUUUGAAACCCCAGUCACGAAGGAGGAUCUAACAGUAAAAAGAAAAUAGAGAGUUCUUUUUAACCUGGCACUGGGACGCGUACACACCGCCCGUCACCCUCUUCAACAAUCUUUUUCUCGAUAACUAACUAAUUAAUUUCAUCUUAGAAGAGGCAAGUCGUAACACGGUAGGGGUACUGGAAAGUGCCCCUGGCAUACAC
rnacentral:rRNA from 1 species